UCUUGAUUGUACCCUUUUUCACUGGAUAAUGGACACGUGUACCGCACAUUUUUCUUUUGCCAAACCACGUGUCCAGUUCAGAUGCACAAAAUAUUCUGUACUCCAAUUUUCCAUCCCUCCAAAUUCUCUCUCCUUCGGUGCUCUCCACACCUCUUCAGCUUUCUUUGAGUAAGUUUCUCAAAUCUUCUGAACUUCUAUUUUUCUUUUCUGAUUUUUCAUUCCAGUUGCAAAAUGAGCAAUAGCACCUGUGAAGUUAGAUGAUGAGCAGUUGGAUGAACUGCGACAAAAUUCCCGAUCAGCCGACAAAAACGAUGAUGGUAGUCUGACCCAACUCGAGCUUGGCGCACUAUUGGGGUCCCUAGGUUUAAAAUCAGUACUGAUCAGCUAGAAACUUUGAUUGAAAAGGAUGAUAAAGACGACAAUGGCCUUGUUGAAUUCUCAAAGUUUGUUUGCCAAUUACAUUUCAUUUAUGUCUUAAACACUGUGAACAUUCUUGGAAACUGCAUGUUCUUGUGUUAGUUUUGCCUGUUUUCUGUUCUUAUUGCAUUCAUUCCCUUGAUUUAUUCAAUCCCUAAAUUGGGAAGGUCGAUUACAGUAUCAUCGCUUUGAAUAUGUUCCAUGUAUUAAGUAUUGUUUAAACCUAUAACAUAUGUGUACAUUGGACGAACUUAAAAGGUAUAUAAAAUUGAAAUCUUUACUGCACAAUUGUGCAAAGAAAGUCUUUUUUAAUGGUGACAUCUUUUCAAACACCUGGUGUGCGUUAAAAAUGUAUUUACAAGAUCAAUGCAAAAGGAUAAUUAUAAUAAUAUACAAUCAGCGUUAUCUAUAAUUAGGGAUUAGGCCAAGCAGAGGAAAAAAGAAAAUUGAAAUCAAAACUAACUAAAAAUAGUAAUAGUAUAUUGAAGGCAAGAGCGGAACUCUAAACAACAGUAGUGGUAGUAGAUUGAAGACCUCACAUGCAAAACUUGCGGGGAAGAGGAAUUAAGUUAGUCUACCUCCUACUUUGCUUUCUUUAAACACUGUCAAGUCAUUGCUUCAUUUCAGAUGGUGCUAUUAGUUAGAAGUCGAAGAAAAAGUUAAUCACUAAGUGGUCGUUUGGUUUGAGGUAUAAAAUGGGUUAUGCCAGUACUAAUUUUUAUACCACGUUUGGUAUAAGGUAUAGAUUUAUCCCGGGAUUAUUUUAUACCUUGCACCAAACGUGGUAUAAAAAUUAGUGCUGCAUUAACUCAACUUAUACCUUCUUAACCCACUUAUACUGGGAUUAUUUUAUACCAUCUUUCAGAUGGUAUAAAAUAAUACCAACUGAUGGGAUAAAUUAGUCCCGGGAUUGUAAUCCCGGAACUAUUUUGACUAGCAACCAAACGACCACUAAGAGUAAACAAAUGUAGCACAUUUACUUUUGAGUACAAAACCCGUGUUCUACACCUCAUACUCUGAAAUUGCUAAAACAGCUUCUGAGACAGAUUUUUACGGUUAGAUUGAUUGUCCAGUUCUAGGUUUUGAGAAAGGGCAAACCAUCGAUACAAGAUUAAGUGAAUGUCAUUUUCUGCUCUUUGAUAAGUUCAUCCCCUCUUCUAAUUUUCUUCAAAAUGUUUCCCAGGGUCUUUCGGAAACAGCCUAGAAAGGUGAGGGUAAGGACUGCGUACUCUCUACCCUCCCCAGACCGUACAUUGUGGGAAUGUACUGGGUAUGUUGUUGCUGUUAUUGUUGAGACUCAUGUCACCAUAGUGUAUUCUAUAGUUCUAUAUGACCACAAGCCUUAGAUAUCCUUCACUAUUUUUAAUUAUUUCUUGGUAUAGACAAUUGUGUAGGAUUCCUUUUUCUUCAGCACUAUGCAGGAUUCGUCGGUAUUGGGCCAUUGGCACAACUGGGUGGCCUGAUAUGCGUUUGCCCAUCCUUUACACUUUAUCCUAGAUCCCCUAGCCUUGAUCUUUUCAAGUAAAAACAUUCUUUCUUUGUGAAUGCAUUUUAUUUUGCUUAUUGCUUUAAGCUCACUAGAUAUCUAUGUUUGCUUGCUGCUUCAUUGAGUUAAUUUCAAAUAUAAGUAAAACUUCGGCAUUUUCUUUCGACUUAGUAUUUGUAAUUCUGAGCGUAAUAGUAUAGGCUUGGAUCAUUGGCAUUUAAAGCCAUGAUUAUGUAAAAUACUCAUCCAAAUCAGGCUUACGCUGUCGGGCAAGCUGGAGGGACCAUGACUGGAGUUCUGAGUGUAACAAAUGAAAGGGUUGUGGAAUUAUUUAUUAGUGAGCGAUAUGCAGUAUGAAUUCUUACAUUCGACUUCUAUACAUGUAAUAUGUUUCAAAUAUUUAGUUUGCUAAUAAUUCAAGACGAAUAUGUCCUCAUCAGAAAGGGAAGUUUCAGGUACUUCUCAGGAAGAAAGAAACUCAUUUAGACUGUGUGUUGUCUUAUUUUUAACUACUUAUAUUCUUACUGCUCUAUUUCUAGGAAAAUCUCAGAUGAUUGGUUGUAACCUUACAAGUUGUUCUUGAUAAUUUUGAGAAGACAUAGGAUAUAUAAGGACUUGGCCCAACACUUAUCACAUUGUCUUCCACAGUAGGUGUCUUUCCAAUUUGGAGGAAAGAUGAAUGCGCUUAGUAAAAGUCAGGAAGUGCAGUCAUGCAGAGAAUAAGUAGGCGUUUGGCCAUGAAAAUCAAAUAUAUUUCACUUUUUUAAAAUUUUGAAGUUGGAGUUGUGCUUGAUUAUAGUUUUUGCAAAGAAUAUUUAGUUGCUUGAAUGUAAUGAAAGUGAAAAAAAGUGAAAACAAUGUUUUAGUUGUUUUCCAAAUUCCAAACAUAACUUCAAGUUGUAUUUGGAAUUUUCAUGGCCAAAUGCUGAUUUCCAAAUAAAGUGAAAAAAAAAAUCGGAAAAAGUGAAAUUUCUCAUGGCCAAACGGAUCUAGGAAUCUACAGGAUCAUGGCUAAAGUGCUGCAGGAAGGCCCCAACAAUAUUCUAUGAUCUGCUUCAAUUGGAUGACAUCUAAUCUUAGUGGACAUGUAUUGCAUAGAACUAUUUAAUUUCCAUACUCAAGUUUUGUAAUUAUGACCAAAGUAAGGGUACUUAAAUACUUUUUGCAUAUGCUGCUAAAAUAACUCAUGCAUAAAUUAAUUAUGUUGGGAUGUGUAUAGACAGGACGAAAAAAGAAAGUUGUGCAAAUAGAGUGGAGAACAGUUUAGUAUUUGCAAUAUAUGUAGUAGAUAUUUCAAUUAGUGCAGUGAUACUGAGAGAAACUCAGUUAAAGAGAACUUUGCAGAAAAUGAAUUUUAAAGAUAAUGAGCUUUUCUCGGAUACGGUAGAUAAACAAUUUCAAUUUUAAUAUGCCUCCCGCUUUUUUUUUUUUUUCAAGUAAUAUGGAGAUAGGCAACACUCCUUUGUUGGUAUCAAGUUUUGUAGCAUUCUUAUCCAUAGUUUCUUUGGGAUAUGUAAUUCGUAAGAGAUUAUCUGCUUAUGUCCUUGAAAACUUUUCUUCUUUCUAAUUUUCUUUUGUACUGAAAACAGGUGCGACUUGAACCAAAUUUUUGUGUCUCUGAGAGACGAAAAAUGGGAGUGUUUUCUGGGGUGUCCGUCUUGUGACUUCACAGACACUCAUCAGAUUUUACUUUUGGGAGAUUUGGGAAUUGGUCAAGACAAACUUACAUGUUGAUGGGUGUAAAAUCAGAUGAGGAGGCCAACCAAGACGUAUUGGGAUGGUUCGUGAAGCAUUUCAAGAUAUAUAAAGUACUGCCAUGUUGCAAAACUUUGUUGUGGUGUGGCUCUGAAGCUGCUAAGAAAAUUGGGCAAUAGCUGACUAAACCUCUAAGCUCUUUUUCUGUAAAGAUCCUUUUCUUAAAGGGACAUUUCCCCACUCAUUUCAGAUCAUAGAGGCCGGGUUUCAGUCUUUGCUUGUUCUUUCUUUUAUUUUGCAGAUUAACAACUUCAAUCUUUAUUAGAAUGUAAUAGUGCUCAUGACGUGAAACCAGAUGAAGUGUGAGGGUGGCUCAUGUAUCUAAAUGAGUGGUAUAAAUGCUGCAAAUUUGAGCUUUCUUUCCAAACUAUGAAUAAGAUAGGUUGUAAUAGCCUA